GCGCAUGUCGCCUCGCGCAUGCCGGAAAUUGCCCGCUCUAAUUACUCGCAGCCAGUAAAGCCAGUCAAUUUGUUAGAGAUUUGUAUUGCAGAAUGGCCAUUUGGCUGAAUAAACCGACUAUAUUUGUCGCAAACGAACGAUUCAAACUACAAACCACGGCCGCUGGUUGUGAUUUGAAGGUUAGUGAAUACAUUUCUCUUGGUUAUGAGCUGUUAAAGAAUUGCUAAAUGCGAAAUUUAAACGUAUUAACAC
rnacentral:lncRNA from 1 species